UCUCACACUACCCAUAAGACCUCUCUCCUCUUAGAGAGAGGUCUUAUGGGUAGUGAGUGGGU
rnacentral:miRNA from 1 species